UUUAGAGCGUGGUGAGGAAGGUGGGUUUAUUUGGCUAUGUGCAAACAGUGUGGCAACAGACAAGCUCGUAUUUGGAACGGGAACAACUUUUUCAGUUGAGCCAAAGAGUCAAAAAGAAUCUGCCCCAGAAGUCAUUGUGCUCAAAUCAAAGAAGCCUAAACAACAUGGCAACAAACUGAACAUGGCUUGUUUGGCGAGGUCUUUCUACCCUGAGAACAUCAGCCUCGAUGUGCCUGAGAGUGUUGUUUUGUAUGACCUGAAGGCACCUCUGGUCACGUCUGGGGGGAUCUACAGCACCAUGAAGGUCGUUGGAGUGGAGCCAGAUGCAGAGGUGACCUGCAAGGCUACGCACAAAGGGAACAGGAGCAAAGCCAGCACAACUCUGCCAGAAGAGAAAACUGAAGAAUUUGGAACAGUUAAUGAUUGCAGCAUUACAGAUGCUUCUAAAAGAGCAAAUGUCAAAACAAACGCACUCUUCAUGGCUGUUUUGGGUUUGAGAGUCCUGCUGGCAAAGAGCAUCAUCUUCAAUGCACUCAUGAGUAUCAAGCUGUUCCUCUUCUGAGGUACUGGGUGUGACAGCAAUGGGCUGAAUAAGAGCAGGAAAGAACACACAACAGAGUAACACUGUGUGUCAGCUUUGCUACCCAUAAACAUCUGAAGAAUCAACAAACUCCCCCAUUUCUGUAGAUCUGUGAGUCUCUUCACUUCAUCAAGGUGCUCCUUAGUGAACACCAUCUCGAAUCCUUCUUAGACAGCUAAUGUUGUAUAAUGCUGAACUCUUGUCUAGCUUAGAAUCAUUAAUAGAACAAUUUCUGGUGUUUCUUAUUUCCCUCAUCCCUCUGUUGAGUAGGAACAGUAAGCUCUCCUACUCCUGGAUCCAUUGCACUGAUACAUCCAAAUUGCUUACAUAGUUUUGAAAACUUAAAAUUUAACUGUAUACUUAGUAUACUUUAAAAAUACCACUUCUGGUCAUAUUACUUUGUUGUCUACAGAAAUAAUUAUCUUCUGCUCAGGGAUCCCAGGCACAGGGGGUGUACUGUAUAAUUUCAAUUUUUACAGGAUUUUAUCAGUGGCAAUUUUCCAGGGCAGAUCUAGAUAUCAUUUGGACCUAAAGGAAUUCAAUUCAGACAGGCGUAGUGUUUU